rnacentral:rRNA from 1 species
UGCCAGCAGCCGCGGUAAUACGAAGGGUGCAAGCGUUGUUCGGAUUUACUGGGCGUAAAGCGCGCGCAGGCGGAUUGUUAAGUCAGAUGUGAAAUCUCGGGGCUCAACCCCGAAACUGCGUCUGAAACUAUCAAUCUAGAGUCUCGGAGAGGGAAGGGGAAUUUGAUGUGUAGGGGUAAAAUCCGUAGAGAUAUCAAGGAACACCAGAGGCGAAGGCGCCUUCCUGGACGAGUACUGACGCUGAGGCGCGAAAGCGUGGGGAGCAAACAGGAUUAGAUA